rfam:Triticum urartu cultivar G1812 contig92300, whole genome shotgun sequence.
GCUCAGUUGGUAAAGCACAAGGCUAUUAACCUUGUGGACGUGGGUUCAAGCCCCAU